rfam:Schistosoma haematobium scaffold278_6, whole genome shotgun sequence.
AGUCAUCUGACGAGUCCCAAAUAGGAUGAAACUCUCGUCAAACUGGAU